rnacentral:rRNA from 1 species
AUUGAACGCUGGCGGCAGGCCUAACACAUGCCAGUCGAGCGGAUGAAGGGAGCUUGCUCCUGGAUUCAGCGGCGGACGGGUGAGCAAUGCCUAGGAAUCUGCCUGGUAGUGGGGGAUAACGUCCGGAAACGGGCGCUAAUACCGCAUACGUCCUGAGGGAGAAAGUGGGGGAUCUUCGGACCUCACGCUAUCAGAUGAGCCUAGGUCGGAUUAGCUAGUUGGUGGGGUAAAGGCCUACCAAGGCGACGAUCCGUAACUGGUCUGAGAGGAUGAUCAGUCACACUGGAACUGAGACACGGUCCAGACUCCUACGGGAGGCAGCAGUGGGGAAUAUUGGACAAUGGGCGAAAGCCUGAUCCAGCCAUGCCGCGUGUGUGAAGAAGGUCUUCGGAUUGUAAAGCACUUUAAGUUGGGAGGAAGGGCAGUAAGUUAAUACCUUGCUGUUUUGACGUUACCAACAGAAUAAGCACCGGCUAACUUCGUG